GACUACAUGAAGCUGGAAUCGCUAGUAAUCGCAGGUCAGCAUACUGCGGUGAAUACGUUCCCGGGCCUUGUACACACCGCCCGUCACACCAUGGGAGCCGGAAAUGCCCGAAGCCAGUGACCCAACCUUAGGGAGGGAGCUGUCGAAGGUGGAGCCGGUAACUGGGGUGAAGUCGUAACAAGGUAUC
rnacentral:rRNA from 1 species